rnacentral:rRNA from 1 species
ACUCAAAUGAAUUGACGGGGGCCCGCACAAGCGGUGGAGCAUGUGGUUUAAUUCGAUGCAACGCGCAGAACCUUACCAGCCCUUGACAUGGGUAGUAUGGGGUCCAGAGAUGGACUCCUUCAGUUCGGCUGGCUACCACACAGGUGCUGCAUGGCUGUCGUCAGCUCGUGUCGUGAGAUGUUGGGUUAAGUCCCGCAACGAGCGCAACCCUCGCUUUCAGUUGCCAUCAUUCAGUUGGGCACUCUGAAGGAACUGCCGGUGACAAGCCGGAGGAAGGUGGGGAUGACGUCAAGUCCUCAUGGCCCUUACGGGCUGGGCUACACACGUGCUACAAUGGCGGUGACAGUGGGCGGCUACUUCGCAAGAAGAUGCCAAUCCCAAAAAGCCGUCUCAGUUCGGAUUGCACUCUGCAACUCGAGUGCAUGAAGUUGGAAUCGCUAGUAAUCGCGGAUCAGCAUGCCGCGGUGAAUACGUUCUCGGGCCUUGUACACACCGCCCGU